UCCUCCGUGGCGCAAUUGGCUAGCGCGUCUGACUGUUACAAGACCUUCAGGGUCCUCGCAAUCAGGAGGUUGACAGUUCAAGCCUGUCCGGGGGAG